rnacentral:rRNA from 1 species
CCUACGGGAGGCUGCAGUGAGGAAUAUUGGUCAAUGGGCGCGAGCCUGAACCAGCCAAGUCGCGUGAGGGAGGACGGCCCUACGGGUUGUAAACCUCUUUUGCCGGGGAGCAACGGGCGUCACGUGUGGCGCCACUGAGAGUACCCGGAGAAAAAGCAUCGGCUAACUCCGUGCCAGCAGCCGCGGUAAUACGGGGGAUGCGAGCGUUAUCCGGAUUUAUUGGGUUUAAAGGGUGCGUAGGCGGAUCGUUAAGUCAGUGGUCAAAUUGAGGGGCUCAACCCCUUCCCGCCAUUGAAACUGGCGUGCUUGAGUCCGCGGAAAGCAGGCGGAAUUCGUCGUGUAGCGGUGAAAUGCUUAGAUAUGACGAAGAACCCCGAUUGCGAAGGCAGCUUGCUGCAGCGGAACUGACGCUGAUGCUCGAAAGCGCGGGUAUCGAACAGGAUUAGAUACCCGAGUAGUC